AAGUGAAGCGCGGACAUGAUCGAUUUGUUGCAGGAAACGCGGCGAGCUUCAAACCAGACUGGAAUAAAAACAUAAAACUGUCAUUGACAGUUGGAGGAAACAUAGCUAGCAAGUUUAUUUUCCACAAAUAAUCAUUGAACAUUUAGGCGAACAUACUUGAAAACAACAGCUUUUGCAAGCAGGAAUAGUAAUGUCCAUCGUGACAGUACAACUUGGACAAUGUGGCAACCAGGUAGGCCAAGAGUUGUUCGAGGUGAUCAGCAAUGAUGCAAAUGAUACGCAAAGAAAGGUUUACAGUGAAUGCAGCAGUGAGCGGUUCUUCAAUGAGACUGCAAAUAGAGAACUCGUGGCAAGGUCAGUGUUGAUUGACAUGGAACCCAAAGUCAUCUCACAGAGUAUUGCAAAGACUGCCAAAUCUGGGAAGUGGAGAUAUGGGGACCGUUCACACUUCAGUCAGAAACAGGGUUCUGGAAACAACUGGGCAAAUGGAUACUGUGUCCAUGGACCGCGUCAUGAGGAGGUAGUGAUGGACAUUGUGAGGAGGGAGGUGGAGCACUGUGACUGUCUGGCAGGAAUCAUGGCCAUGAUGAGUGUGGCAGGGGGCACAGGGUCAGGGGUGGGCACAUACGUUACUCAGUGUCUCCGGGACGCCUACCCAAACUCCUUCAUCCUCAACCACCUGACAUGGCCCUAUGGCACUGGAGAGGUGAUAGUCCAGAACUACAACUCUGUGCUCACACUGUCACACCUCUACCAGCUCUCAGAUGCCAUCCUGGUUCACGAAAAUGACACGGUUCACAAGAUCUGUGCCCAGCUCAUGAAUAUCAAACACAUAUCAUUCAGGGACGUCAACAAAGUCAUCGCCCACCAGCUAGGGAGUGUUCUGCAGCCUGCACUCACUGGUGACUCCCAUGGUGUCUACAGUAGAAACCCCAUAGGUGAACUGAUGAGCAGCCUGGUGUGUCACCCAGAGUACAAGCUUCUCAGCGUGUGCAACAUUCCCCAGGUGUCCAGCUCUUCUAUGGCUUACAGCAUGUUCACCUGGCCGGGCCUGCUCAAACAUCUACGUCAGAUGCUCAUUGCCAACUCCAAAAUGGAGGAAGGCAUCGACUGGCAGGUGCGAGCCCCCUCUCUCCAGCCUGAAGGGAUAGAGAGGACCAGGAGUCACAGACGACCAGGCUUCAACACCUCCCUGGCCAACCUGCUCAUACUGCGGGGGAAGGAUGUGAACAAUGCAGAGAUAAGUGGAUUUCAGCAUCCGAGUCUAUAUACCCCCUGGCUUCCAGCAGAUGAGGCUUUCAGCAUGUGGAAAACCCCAGUCCCCUUUAACAAGUAUGAGAAGUCUGCUAUACUGGUUAGCAACAGUCAGACUCUGCUGAGGCCUCUGGACAACAUGGUGGGGAAAGCCUGGAACAUGUUUGCCUCUAGGGCCUACAUUCAUCAAUACACUAAGUUCGGGAUCUCAGAGGAGGAUUUCUUGGAUAGCUUCACAUCUCUUGAACAGGUCAUCUCUAGCUACAGUCAACUUUGAUGCUAUGGUCUGCUUUGGACCAGUAAGAUACUUUUUGGACAUGACGAAAACCAGGAUUCACUCCAACCGCAAAUAUUUUUCAGGAAAGACCACUAAAUGCACACAAAACAGCCAUGAUGCCCUACAAAGAUGUCUUUGUUGGGAAGGUAAGUUUGAUUUGAUCCAUUAGCCACAAAAGGUACUUAAAUUAGCACAUGCUUUAAAAGGUUGUACCAUAGUCAAGACUGCACUCUUCAGAUGGUUAAUACCCAGAACUUCAGACAGCUUACAGACUGUUGUCGCCAUGUGAUUCAAACAGUCAACACCAGUCUGAUAAGCUAUCUGACAGGAUGGGAGAGGGAGUAAAAUACCUGCAACAACCAGGACCAGGUCUUUACAAACCAGCUUCAGAAAACAUAUUUUCCGACAGGACAAUAAGCAUAGCAGUAUCUGAAACAAUAAGCCGUGAUGAUAUACAACUCGCUCAUAUAUCUAGUUUCAAAUUACAACAUCAAUUCCAUAGUUUCCUUUAAAUACAUUAUUCUCCAAUUCACAAUAUUGCGAUCCAUAUGCUUUUUGAGAAUUUUGGCACUUACCUUUUGGAUGUUAAUUCUUUAAAAAAAAAGAGGUUCAAGCAUUUUUUCAAUCUUGGUGGUCUGAGUGCCUAAGCACUAUUACCUUAACAGUAGAAGAUGCUCUAUAUACAAUAACAUGGGGCAAGCUUACAAGAAUGGAAGCAAUUGUUUAAAUAGUAAGAGAAACUCAGACAUGGAAACGAAUGAUUUAGGCAUUUUUAUAUAUUCUGCUCAAAGACCGUCUAAAUGUACAGAAUAAAAAUGACACUAAGUUAGCUGAGUGUAAUGUUAAGUUACAAAUCCUUUUUGUUCCGUUUUGGUCCAAGUUAGUUCGUCCAGAUCAUUCAAAGUACAUGUGCAUACAUACCAUCCUGAAAAUAUUUCCAGGAUGUGCAAACCAAUAACACAUUGAUCCGACUUGAUAUUGCUAUUUCCAAGAAACACAAAUGACAGGUCUAUUUCUGAUCAACAGGACAAAACACAAGAAAAUGUAACCCUGAAAACGUCCUUAGCAUCAUAUCAGCAUACACAAUGUCUGAAUCCAUACAUACAGUGAAAAAUUUGGUACAAAUUAAGUCUAGUGAUUAAGAACUGUGUUCAAUGGAAGUAGGACCCUCCACCUUGCAUAAGGCAUUGCAGCUGGUAUAGCUGCCGGCAUUGCAGCUGGUAUAGCUGCCAGCAAAACAGUUGACCUCCAGUUUCUGCUUAACUGCUUAUAACAUCAUCACACACUAAACACAGAUGAGGGGAAACUACAAAACCUUAAGGACAAACAAACAGUAUACAUCCGUAAGCACACACAGAAUAGUGCCAGUUCAGCCUCUUAAGAAUGGAAAAGGGCGAGGUUAGUUUGAGACAGAGCCGAGGGACUCUCAGCAGUCAGUUGGUGAGUCUCUUAUCACUUGGUUUUCUCCUCAGUGUUCCUCUGCUGCCGACUCUGACGUCGCUUGGCGUAGCUCUGAGCCAUGGAGUUGAUGAUGGAGAAGAUAAAGUAACAGACCAUGACCAGAACCACCUUCUCAAAGACCCAUGACAGCCAGUUCUCAGUCUGCACAGAGAGACAUGCAUACAGAGGAAUAUUACUCUUGACUAACACGAAUGCAUUACAAUUUGUAUUAUCUUGGCAAUCAAUAAAAUCACAUGCUUUGUCUCGACUUA